GACGAACGCUGGCGGCGUGCUUAACACAUGCAAGUCGAACGAGAUCCAUGGAGUAGCAAUACUCCGGAAGAUCUAGUGGCGAACGGGUGAGUAACACGUGAGCAACCUGCCCCAAAGACUGGGAUAACCCCGGGAAACCGGAGCUAAUACCGGAUGUCCUCGUCGGAUCGCAUGGUCUGAUGAGGAAAUGAAUUUCGCUUUGGGAGGGGGCUCGCGGGGAUAUCAGCNGGUUGGGUGGGGGUAACGGCCUACCAAGGCUUCGACGUCUAGCUGGUCUGAGAGGACGAUCAGCCACACUGGGACUGAGACACGGCCCAGACUCCUACGGGAGGCAG
rnacentral:rRNA from 1 species